UGCUUUGUUUUUCUCCAUAUUUUUACUCUCCAGUAUACAUUGCCUGUGUCUGCACUAGAACGUCAGCUUCACAAGGGCAGGAAUUUUUAUUUGUUUUGUCCUCUGCUGUAUCUUUCGUGCCCAGAAAAGUAUUUGGCACAUAGUAGGUAGUCAAUGAGUAUUGGACAAAUGAAUGAAUGAAUGAAUUCAGUCCCUGCAGGCUCAGAAUGGAGGAUCUUCAUCUCAGGAUGGAGAUGGCUGUUUUGAAGAGUCCAUACACCCACCUGGAGUUUGCAAGACAAACAGAAGGCAGGCAGGGCCUGUGAGACUGUGAAGCUCGGAGAGGCAGACGACUUGACUACGGUCAGACAGCCAGAGUAUGGCACAGUUAGGAUUGGAACUCAGGUCCUUCUGAUUCCGAAGUUGAGAACUCUCCCCUAGAUCUUGACCUGGCACGCACAGACUGCCCCGGCCCAUCCCAGAUCCCUGGGGGCUGGCUGUAAAAGACAGACGGACAGUCAGACAGACAGCUGGGCUGACCUGGAUAUUUGUCAACAGCCCAACGGAAAUCUCCUCUUUAUGCUUAAAAUAAAACCUACAUCAAACCUGUCACCAAGGCCUCCAUUAGAGCUUCCUGUUUCUGAGAGCUACAGCGAGGCAGCCCGCGGGAGAGGAAGCGCCACCCAGAACUCCCCAUUCCUGCCCCUGGAGAGGGGGCAGAGAGGUCACCCUGGCUCUCACCUUCUGUGUGCCCAGCCCUAGCCCUGGCCUAGGGCCCUGGCCGCUCCUAGGCAAGGGUAACUAAUCUGAAGGGAGGCUGGAAGGGGCUGAGCCCUCACAGCCCGGUGCCGGCCCUGUCCCACCCCCUCUCCCCCGGCACUGGACAUAACACGAAGGGCCCAAAAUGCAGGUGACUAACUCAAGGAGGACUGUGCCACUUGUCUCCCACAAAGGCCCAGGAAGGAACCUGCCUUGCCCAGGGCCACCCAGGAGGCAAGGCCAGUCUGCUCCAAGUCCCUCUUCCUCAAAGAACUACUUCCCACCCCCACACUGUGGCCUGUGUGGCCUCAAGUUCAGAGUCUGCCCUCUCUGAGUUUCCUGUCCCCUUGAAAACUGGGAAAGGGUGGGGGAGUGUGGAACCUCCAUGACUGGGGAGGGUCUUUGCAUCCCUGUCCAACCUUCCCCUGUAGGUCCCCUUCCUGGUGCAGGAGGAAGACCCCAGGCCUAGUACCAGCCCUUUGCCAACUCACUCUGUGACCAGACCUCAGCUUCCUCCUUUUUGUAAAUAAAAGAAUUUAUUUAAUUUUAUGUGUUCAUUCAUUUAUUUUUAAUUUGACCAGAGAGAGGCACACAGAGAGAGAGGGAAAGUGAGAAAGUAAGCCACCAGGUCUGGGUCUCAAACCAUGGCUGGCCAUGUGGGGGUACCCAGCACCUUAACCACUAUACCAUCUACUGGUCCCUCAGCUUCCUCCUUUAUGAAGAAUGCCAGCAGGCCUCCCAGAGCAGUUAUGAGGACACUCUGUGGGGCAAGACUCAGGCCCCACCAGAUCGUGGGGUGAACAAUUAUUAAGUUGUUCAUUUAUACCCCAAGACUUCUCCCACCCCGACCCCUUGUGAGCACAUAAACAUCUAAAGGCCCAGCCCUUGAGAAACAAGCAUCUGUAUUUAUUAACAAGGGGAGGGAACCAGUGCAGUACAGAUUCCUGCCCAGUCCCUCCUGUAGACUACCUACCUAGGCCAGCCUCCAAGGGCUGGGAAGACAGGAGACAGGCUCACUCUGCCCUGCCCCCUCCCCAGGGUGAGGUCCAGGGAGCCAGGGCCCACUGGGUAAAGAAGAGGAAGUCAACAAAGGCCAGGGACCAAGGAAGGAGGAAGCAGAGCCAGUGGGCAGACAAACUCGGCAAGAUCCCUCCUCCCCUCACUCUGAGGAAGGCUAAGCACCCCAAAUCCAGCCCAGGAGAGGAACCACACAGAAGUAUAGUCAUGUCCAAAAACCUUGUAUGUGGGGUGGGGGUGGGGAAUCCAGGUCAAGAGCAUUUCUCUCCAGGGUCAGUCCUUCUGAGAGGAUGCUGGGCCAGCCUCUAAGCCUCCAUACUAAGUUCACAUACGGGCACAAACUGAUUUGCCCCGAGCCAGGGAAUGGAUGCAAGAGAAGUCAGGGGACCAACUGGCUCCCUCAUAUCUGUCCUAUGGCGAACGCUGAGUCCACUGGCGGCCUAGCCCUCAGCGGCUGGGGC